AUAAGGUUAAGUUAAUAAGGGCGCACGGUGGAUGCCUUGGCACUAGAAGCCGAUGAAGGACGUGACUAACGACGAAAUGCCUUGGGGAGCUGUAAGUAAGCAAUGAUCCAGGGAUGUCCGAAUGGGGGAACCCGGCAGGUAAUGCCUGUCACUCACUACUGUUAAGGUAGUGUAGAGGAAGACGCAGUGAACUGAAACAUCUAAGUAGCUGCAGGAAGAGAAAGCAAAAGCGAUUGCCUUAGUAGCGGCGAGCGAAACGGCAGGAGGGCAAACCGAAGAGUUUACUCUUCGGGGUUGUAGGACUGCAAUGUGGACUUAAAGAGUAUAGAAGAAUUACCUGGGAAGGUAAGCCAAAGAGAGUAAUAGCCUCGUAUUUGAAAUAUUCUUUAUACCUAGCAGUAUCCUGAGUACGGCGAGACACGCGAAAUCUCGUCGGAAUCCGGGAGGACCAUCUCCCAACCCUAAAUACUCUCUAGUGACCGAUAGUGAACCAGUACCGUGAGGGAAAGGUGAAAAGUACCCCGGAAGGGGAGUGAAAUAGAACCUGAAACCGUGUGCCUACAACAAGUUCGAGCCCGUUAAUGGGUGAGAGCGUGCCUUUUGUAGAAUGAACCGGCGAGUUACGAUAUGAUGCGAGGUUAAGUUGAAGAGACGGAGCCGUAGGGAAACCGAGUCUUAAUAGGGCGCAUUAGUAUUAUGUCGUAGACCCGAAACCAUGUGACCUACCCAUGAGCAGGUUGAAGG
rnacentral:rRNA from 1 species